GUGGGGAAUUUUGGACAAUGGGGGAAACCCUGAUCCAGCCAUGCCGCGUGGGUGAAGAAGGCCUUCGGGUUGUAAAGCCCUUUCGGCCGGAACGAAAUCGCCAUCUCUAAUACGGGUGGUGGAUGACGGUACCGGAAGAAGAAGCACCGGCUAACUACGUGCCAGCAGCCGCGGUAAUACGUAGGGUGCGAGCGUUAAUCGGAAUUACUGGGCGUAAAGCGUGCGCAGGCGGCUUCUCAAGUCAGGUGUGAAAUCCCCGGGCUCAACCUGGGAAUUGCGCUUGAAACUGGGUGGCUAGAGUGCGGCAGAGGGAGGUGGAAUUCCUGGUGUAGCAGUGAAAUGCGUAGAUAUCAGGAGGAACACCGAUGGCGAAGGCAGCCUCCUGGGCUGACACUGACGCUCAUGCACGAAAGCGUGGGGAGCAAACAGGAUUAGAUACCCCUGUAGUCC
rnacentral:rRNA from 1 species